rnacentral:rRNA from 1 species
UACGUAGGGUGCAAGCGUUAAUCGGAAUUACUGGGCGUAAAGCGUGCGCAGGCGGUUUUGUAAGUCUGUCGUGAAAUCCCCGGGCUUAACCUGGGAAUUGCGAUGGAGACUGCAAGGCUAGAAUCUGGCAGAGGGGGGUAGAAUUCCACGUGUAGCAGUGAAAUGCGUAGAGAUCGGGAGGAACACCAGUGGCGAAGGCGGCCUUCUGGACCAAUACUGACGCUCAUGCACGAAAGCGUGGGGAGCAAACAGG